rnacentral:tRNA from 1 species
GGGACCGUCGUUCAGUGGUCUAGGACACUGCCCUGUCAAGGCAGAGAUCGUGGGUUCAAAUCCCAUCGGUCCCG